GUUGUUGUGUUGGUUUACAUCAUAUGGUUUAUAAUAUCAUGUUCAUCUCCUAUGCAGAAAACUUGACAUAUAUUCUUGGAUGGCUUAAAGCAAAAAGGAUAUAUAGUUAUAUACGCGAAAUUUUCGUUAAUACUCUCACAUCGUUUAUGAAGUUACUAAACCAUAUCAUUAAACCAUUAUUAAACCAUCUAAAUAAAUUUGAUGCUGAUAGAUGCAAUCCAUGUUCGAAAACUCCGGUAAGACACCUGAUUGAGCGCUGGCUAGACGCUCGACGUGUUUAAAUCUGAUGCUUAAUAACUAAUCUAUUUAUUUGGGACAUAAAUAAGACGAAAUCACUCAACAAUUUGAUUAUUUACAGUUGAUGGCCGCCAUGAAAAUGGUUUGCACAGUCGCAAACUCUAAAAAAAUAUUGGGGAAGAUGAUGAGAAAAUUACCAUUAUGCCACUCAGUAAAUGAAAAAAAUGAAAAAAAAAGCAAAAUACGUUAGGGACAGGUCGAACAAAAGAUCUCCAGAGUAAGGGGCGACUAGUUUUUCCGUUACCACCUGCAAACGCAGCUUUUGCGGUUGGUAACAGUUGUUGGCGGUUUGCAACAAUCAUUCAAAUCGCUCUAAACCGAUUCAAACCGCUCCGAAUCUCAUAAAUUCAAAAGCUGGCUUCAGCUAGCGUUUGUGGUUGCGGGAGGGUAAAUGUUUUUCUUUUUUUUUAAAUAAAAUAUAUAGAAAAUUAAAAAUAAUUAAUAAAAAAUUUAAA
rnacentral:lncRNA from 1 species